rnacentral:tRNA from 1 species
AUAAGCAUGGUUAUGUGGUUAAGAUGUUUGGUUUGAAACCAUAAUUUAAUUGUAGGUUCAAACUCACUGCUUUCA